UGAAGGAGAUGAAACUGAAAAAUAAUAAAAAAAAAGUACAUAUCUUAAUUGAUUCCAACAGUUUACAAUAUAUAGGAGGGAACUUAAAAAGUCCUGGAUAUACAUCUACCCUAUAAUUCACCAACUCGUUUUACUCAUCUUUCAUCCUUACACUCUUACAUUCAUCACUUAAUGGUUCAGAUCAUCCCUGGAAUAUCUUGCUCAGAUCCAACGUUUGAGGUCGCUCCCACCUCCCACCUCGCAUUGCACCGGCAGGCAAUCCCGUCUCCCGUCUUCCGCGCGAUCCUCUUCUCCCUUCCUUCCGAAACCUCUCCCGUCUCCCGCACCCCUCUCCAAUCCGUCCUACCUCCCCCUCACAUUUCCUCCCCGCCCAGGUCGCCGACGCGCCGCCCUCAGAAGCCGCCUCCAGAUCGCCGUCCAGCCUCCUCGCCCUCGUGCCGCAAGCAUCAACCGUCUCGCCACAAACAGCCUCCUCCAGGAUAAGCACGACGACUACCAUAUACCCCCCAUAUAAUGCUAAGGCAAGGAAGUAUGAUCAUGAUAAAGCAAUGCAAAUGGGGCAUAGAUGCUGAGAUGGAAAGGAAAGAGUUUGGAGCUGACACUGUCUUGGAGGAGUUUGAGUUCGAUGGUGAUGACUGGGAAGGCUGGACGGUGUACAUCGAGAAGGCUGGCAAGGUCGAUCCGAACAAGCUGAUGCAUAUCACCUCAGUAUAGCGGUGCAUCAAGUACCAUGUGCAGAGUUUGAAAGAAAUUUCAGGGACAAGGUCCCUGCUUGCACAUUGGCAGCCAAGAGGCAUAUUGAUUUCAGUAUUUCACAACAUACUGAAAUUCUCAGAUACUGCAAAGGUGAUCACCAUAUAUACAUAUGUGAAAAGAAACUUUUGAAAAAAGAAAAAAUAAAUCCUUUAUUAAUAUAUUAUGAUGCACAUUUUGAUCAAUUUAUACUUCUAACUUUGUUAUAUUUAGGAUAUUUUUAAAAAAUAUUUAAGUUAGACCACCCAAAUUGAAAUCCUAAAUACACCACUUGCUGUGUAUAGUGUUGUAUGGUGACUGCAAGUGCCAUGAUUUGUCAUCGAAGAAGAUUAGCUCUGCUCGGAUAAGCUGAUAGCCACUACAACGAUAAUACUCAGCAAUAUAUGCUUGGGAUUGUUGUAGCUGCAGCCGUAGCCAUCAUAGUCGAGCAGGGCAGCCAAUCACAUCUUAAUUCUGAGUUCAAAUUAGAACUAAUUAAAACAGUUAAUUUGUUUAGGUUCUUGAUUGCCAGAGUACACUUCUUGAAGUAAUUAACAAAAUGUUAGCAUCAACUAGCUGUGCCUAUCAACCUUUGUCAAACUAUUAGCUGUCUGUAUUUAUACAGCUAUAUCUGUUCAGCUUACCAAUUUUUAGAAAUGUUCUUACCUUCAUAGCACCUAUUGAGUCCAGAUGAAGGCCAUGUAUAGGUACUUUUAGUAUCCUGAUUUCAAUUUGUAGUCCCUUUGAAAUAGUUCAAUUCAGAUCUUCUGAAAUAGGACAUUGUGUCCAACCUAACUUAAAGCUGAUUGUUGCUUAGUUUCCUUAGAUAGUUCUAAAUGUCCAUUAUGAAGGUUCAAAAGCAACACACCUAGCUACUUUAAUUUUGUGACUAUUUUUAGAGUUUGGUGAUUUUCAGAACUGAAGGGCACCAUAGAAUAUGCUCAAUAAAUAAAUGUUUAAGAGGCAAUGGCUAUCGCCUAAGGGAGUGUUUGAGGAGAAGGGGAUUGAGGAGAUUGGGAAGAUACGCAAAACGAGGUGAGCCAUUAGCUCAUAAUUAAUUGAGUAUUAACUAUUUUAAAUUCCAAAAAUGGAUUAGUAUGAUUUUUUAAAGCAACUUUCCUAUUGAAUUUUUUUGCAAAAAACGCACCGUUUAGUAGUUUGAAAAGCGUGCGCGCGGAAAACGAGAGCCAAUCUCCCCUAUCACCCCUAAACGAACGAUGCCUAACACAAGUUCUUCUUUCACAUAUUUAUAUAACAUACUCCCUCCGUCCCAAAAUAAGUGCAGUUUUGCACUAUUCACAUUCAACGUUUGACCG